CAAAGUGACAGAGCUCACUUCCUGUUUUUUCAGUGAGGAGGUGCUGUUAUCGGGAGCUAGAGGUGAUGUUGAUUGAGUACUGGUGGCUGUUGACCACAAGCAACAUGAACAAAAAAGGCCCAAAUAUGUCCAGUGCUACACAACUAAACCUGAAUAUUGCAGGUUAGAAAACAAAGAAAACAUCUGAUUGGUUGAACCUGUGUACCUGGAUUCUUUAAUGCUGUCUCCCCCUGCCCCCUCAUAAGUGGAAAUGGCAGAAGAUGAGCUACUGUGUCCAGAGCAUGCUCCAAGCUUUGAUCUUUCCCGAUGAAUGAACGAUUCAGGUUCCUCCACCGACAAGAAGACGGCUCCAACAUUACCAAAAUAAGUCGGCGUUCUGUGUGUGUAUGAAAAAAUGCAGGCGUGCCUGGGCGUUUUUAAGGAGAGCCUCUGACGUCAGCGAUGACCACUUCCAGCCUGCGCUGUCGGAAGAAUUGCCAGAUAGGAAAAAUCUUCGAUGAUCCGAGAUUAGCAAAUCACUUGCCGGUUGGACGACCACCAGAAGAUUUGAAAUGAGAAUGGAAUCUGGACAAUCUGUACAAAUGGCGCAUGGAAAACUAAUAAACAUCAUAAACUUGUUCUACAAAA